UACGUAGGGUGCGAGCGUUGUCCGGAAUUAUUGAGCGUAAAGAGCUCGUAGGCGGUGUGUCACGUCGGCCGUGAAAACCUGCAGCUUAACUGUGGGCGUGCGGUCGAUACGGGCAUCACUGGAGUUCGGCAGGGGAGACUGGAAUUCCUGGUGUAGCGGUGAAAUGCGCAGAUAUCAGGAGGAACACCGGUGGCGAAGGCGGGUCUCUGGGCCGAUACUGACGCUGAGGAGCGAGAGCGUGGGGAGCGAACAGG
rnacentral:rRNA from 1 species